UCCCGAAACUUUUGGUAUGGGAUUCAGUUUCGAUAAACCUUUAGUUCGGUAAUCCCGAACCGAACAACAAUAUAUUAAUAUAUAAUAUGUAUUUAAUUCAAGUUAGAAAUUAUAAACUAUCUGGACCAUUGGAUUGGUUGAGAUUUAAUCUCAACUGUCCAACCUAAGUUAUAGGGUUUAACACUCUCACUCUCUCACAUUUCUUACUGAAGCCUUAACCCUCAACCCUUUCAUCUCUCUCGAGUUCUCACUUCUUCGCCUCUGUUCUCUCCUCUGCCUCUGCAUUUUUGAGGUUAGGGGCUAUGACUAUUGCCAUAACAACUGCCUCUUCAUGUCCUAUAGUUGUUGCCCUUUAUUCCCUCUCUUCUUUUUCCUCCUCUGUAUCUUUUCGAUUCCCAAAACCCCAAAAUAGCUCUUCUUUCAUUUGCGUCAUCUUUGCUCAACCCAAAUCCUCUGUUCCUCGCUACAAGCUUCGCCAACCUGCCAUCGUCGCAUCGGAGCAAAAACCAUCCUUUCAGAGUGAUGAUGCAAUUUGGCUUCAUAUGAAUUGGAUUUGGGCAUAAAGGAUCAAUCCCAAUCCGUCCCGAUAUCCCGAAAAAAAUUUUGGGCAUCCCGAAGUUCAGAAAUCUCAAAAAUUCGGUUCGGUUUCGGGAUUUGAAAUCCCGUUCUGAAAUAUUUCGAUUUGGAAAUCGAGAUGGUGGUUUCUGUUCGGUAUCCCACAUCGAACCAGCCUUCAAUUGGUAUAGAAGAUUGAAUUAAAUUGGAAAAUCAAUUUUUUUUUAAACAAAUGAUAUUAUCCACACUAAAAAAAGACAAGGGUGGGCUUAGCUUUAUAAUGAGCUAGUAAUAAUAUGGUUCAAAUCUAUCUUUGACGAGAAUUGAAUCUAAAUCCUCUCACUAACAAGUGAAGAGGAAUAUUGAUGAGUCCAUACUAUAACAUAUAUUUUAUCCUAAUCUUAGUAUUAAUUUAAUAGUUAUUUUGGUAGAAUUUUGAUACUUUGUUAUAUAUUUUCUAUGUAGGACAUUCGAAUUCCUCUGGAGCAAAAAGUGAUCACACGGAUGAAUUUUGGAGUAAUUCCAAUUGGAGGAUGUUUGUGAGUCUUUCUAGAUGUUUAUAUCAAAAUUCCAAAUUUUUCUACCAAGUCGUUUGGCCGUAGCAAAGAAAUGAAGGCCUAGCGCGCAGCUUUUCCAGAUUGACGUUUUUGGACAUUUUGGGUAUUUUGGAGGUCAAGAUGGCGUAUUUCGAGGAAGAUUCCUGCUGAGAAUUUGUAGGAGACGUCUUCAGCUUUAAAAAGAGACGUUCUUGGGACCAAAUCGGAGUUGAUUUGGUUAGUCAAAACUGUGAUUUUCUAAGAACUCCAAAUUCUAAUUCAAAUAGAAAACCUUUUAUUUUCUGUUUUAUUAUUUAAUUAUGUUUCCUAGUUCUACCCUAAGACUUUUUAGGGUUUUAUUUUGUAUUAGUAUAAAUAAUGCUUGUUAGCCAUUAGGGUUCUCUAGGCAACAUUGGGAGGAACGUACGUGGAGAAUUUAGCUAGACUUUGACGCUUUGUAUUUUAAAGGUGUUUUCUAUCCUUUUUCUAUUUCAAUAAAUUCCUUUUGUUUUA